AGCGAACGCUGGCGGCAGGCUUAACACAUGCAAGUCGAGCGGGCACUUCGGUGUCAGCGGCAGACGGGUGAGUAACACGUGGGAACGUACCCUUCGGUUCGGAAUAACGCUGGGAAACUAGCGCUAAUACCGGAUACGCCCUUUUGGGGAAAGGUUUACUGCCGAAGGAUCGGCCCGCGUCUGAUUAGCUAGUUGGUGGGGUAAUGGCCUACCAAGGCGACGAUCAGUAGCUGGUCUGAGAGGAUGAUCAGCCACACUGGGACUGAGACACGGCCCAGACUCCUACGGGAGGCAGCAGUGGGGAAUAGUGGACAAUGGGCGCAAGCCUGAUCCAGCCAUGCCGCGUGAGUGAUGAAGGCCUUAGGGUUGUAAAGCUCUUUUGUCCGGGACGAUAAUGACGGUACCGGAAGAAUAAGCCCCGGCUAACUUCGUG
rnacentral:rRNA from 1 species